rfam:Ficedula albicollis isolate OC2 chromosome 1A, whole genome shotgun sequence.
CCAACGGCUCUUGUAAGAGCCACCCACAUUUUCCCAAGCGGGCUGG